rnacentral:rRNA from 1 species
GACUCCUACGGGAGGCAGCAGUCGGGAAUUUUGGGCAAUGGGCGAAAGCCUGACCCAGCAACGCCGCGUGAAGGAUGAAAUCCCUCGGGAUGUAAACUUCGCAAGAACGGGAAGAAUAAGUCUGUGUAAAUAUCACAGAUGAUGACGGAACCGUUUGUAAGCUCCGGCUAACUCCGUGCCAGCAGCCGCGGUAAUACGGGGGGAGCAAGCGUUGUUCGGAUUUACUGGGCGUAAAGGGCGCGUAGGCGGCCACCGCAAGUCAAUUGUGAAAUCUCCGGGCUUAACUCGGAAAGGUCAACUGAUACUGCGGGGCUAGAGUGCGGAAGGGGCAACUGGAAUUCUCGGUGUAGCGGUGAAAUGCGUAGAUAUCGAGAGGAACACCUGCGGCGAAGGCGGGUUGCUGGGCCGAC